CCCGUCACAUCACGAAAGUGGAUUGUACUAGAAGUCUGCAGGCUAACCCGCAAGGGAGGCAGCGGCCCAAGGUAUGAUCCAUGAUUGGGGUG
rnacentral:rRNA from 1 species